rnacentral:rRNA from 1 species
UACGGAGGGAGCAAGCGUUACUCGGAAUUACUGGGCGUAAAGGGCGCGUAGGCGAUUCGAUAAGUCUUGUGUGAGAGCCCCGUGCUUAACGCGGGAAGUGCAUAAGAUACUGUAGAAAUUGAGUUCCGGAGAGGAAGAUGGAAUUCCUGGUGUAGCGGUGAAAUGCGCAGAUAUCAGGAGGAACACCGAUGGCGAAGGCAGGUCUCUGGGCAUUAACUGACGCUGAGGAGCGAAAGCAUGGGGAGCGAACAGG